GGCCGGUGAACCUGCGGAAGGAUCAUUACCGAGUUGAUUCGGGCUCCGGCCCGAUCCUCCCACCCUUUGUGUACCCACCUCUGUUGCUUUGGCGGGCCGCGGUCCUCCGCGGCCGCCCUCCGUCCGGGGGGGGGCCAGCGCCCGCCAGAGGACCAUCAAACUCCGGUCAGUGACCGUUGCCGUCUGAAAAACAAUCAAUAAACUAAAACUUUCAACAACGGAUCUCUUGGUUCUGGCAUCGAUGAAGAACGCCGCGAAAUGCGAUAAGUAAUGUGCAUUGCAGAAUUCAGUGAAUCAUCGAAUCUUUGAACGCACAUUGCGCCCCUCGGUAUUCCGAGGGGCAUGCCUGUUCGAGCGUCAUUACAACCCUCAAGCUCUGCUUGGUGUUGGGCACCGCCCUUCCCGGGGCGCGCCUCAAAGACCUCGGCGGUGGCGUCUUGCCUCGAGCGUAGUAGAAAACACCUCGCUUUGGAGCGCACGGCGCCGCCGCCGGACGAACCUUUUGAACUUUCUCAAGGUUGACCUCGGAUCAGGUAGGGAUACCCGCUGAACUUAAGCAUAUCAAUAAGCGGCCGGGA
rnacentral:rRNA from 1 species